AUUGAACGCUGGCGGCAUGCCUUACACAUGCAAGUCGAACGGCAGCACGGGAGCUUGCUCCUGGUGGCGAGUGGCGAACGGGUGAGUAAUACAUCGGAACGUACCCUGAAGUGGGGGAUAACGUAGCGAAAGUUACGCUAAUACCGCAUAUUCUGUGAGCAGGAAAGAGGGGGAUCGCAAGACCUCUUGCUUUAGGAGCGGCCGAUGUCGGAUUAGCUAGUUGGUGAGGUAAAGGCUCACCAAGGCGACGAUCCGUAGCGGGUCUGAGAGGAUGAUCCGCCACACUGGGACUGAGACACGGCCCAGACUCCUACGGGAGGCAGCAGUGGGGAAUUUUGGGACAAUGGGCGCAAGCCUGAUCCAGCCAUGCCGCGUGAGUGAAGAAGGCCU
rnacentral:rRNA from 1 species